AAUGGAGGCAACUCUGAUCCAGCCAUGCCGCGUGCAGGAAGACUGCCUAUGGGUUGUAAACUGCUUUUAUAUAGGAAGAACCUACUUACGUGUAAUUAGCUGACGGUACUAUAAGAAUAAGGAUCGGCUAACUCCGUGCCAGCAGCCGCGGUAAUACGGAGGAUCCAAGCGUUAUCCGGAAUCAUUGGGUUUAAAGGGUCCGUAGGUGGAUAAUUAAGUCAGAGGUGAAAUCUUGCAGCUCAACUGUAAAAUUGCCUUUGAUACUGGUUAUCUUGAGUUAUUAUGAAGUAGUUAGAAUAUGUAGUGUAGCGGUGAAAUGCAUAGAUAUUACAUAGAAUACCAAUUGCGAAGGCAGAUUACUAAUAAUCAACUGACACUGAUGGACGAAAGCGUGGGUAGCGAACAGGAUU
rnacentral:rRNA from 1 species